rnacentral:hammerhead_ribozyme from 1 species
AUCGACAUGACGAGUCCCAAAUAAGACGAAACACACGUUGUUCAU